GUGAGGAGCAAGCCAUGGCAGUAGCCAAUAUGGAAUACCGGGCAGAGAAGAAGGCAAAAAAGAAGGCUUACUCUCGCUUGAAGCAAAUUGCACGUCUUCAAGGGAAGAAACCUCCUCCUAACCCUUAUCCAAGUGCUAUUAAGGAGAUACAAGCUGAGGAAAGAAAAUUUGUCCGUGAUCGUUUCUUUGACCCCGAAAUUAAAGAGAUUGCACAAAGGUUGAA
rnacentral:misc_RNA from 1 species